rnacentral:rRNA from 1 species
UGGGGAAUUUUGGACAAUGGGGGCAACCCUGAUCCAGCAAUGCCGCGUGUGUGAAGAAGGCCUUCGGGUUGUAAAGCACUUUUGUCCGGAAAGAAAUCCCCUGCUCUAAUACAGCGGGGGGAUGACGGUACCGGAAGAAUAAGCACCGGCUAACUACGUGCCAGCAGCCGCGGUAAUACGUAGGGUGCGAGCGUUAAUCGGAAUUACUGGGCGUAAAGCGUGCGCAGGCGGUUUUGUAAGACAGGCGUGAAAUCCCCGAGCUCAACUUGGGAAUGGCGCUUGUGACUGCAAGGCUAGAGUAUGUCAGAGGGGGGUAGAAUUCCACGUGUAGCAGUGAAAUGCGUAGAGAUGUGGAGGAAUACCGAUGGCGAAGGCAGCCCCCUGGGACGUCACUGACGCUCAUGCACGAAAGCGUGGGGAGCAAACAGG